rnacentral:rRNA from 1 species
CACCGCCCGUCACACCAUGGGAGUUUGUUGCACCAGAAGCAGGUAGCUCAACCUUCGGGAGGGCGCUUGCCACGGUGUGGCCGAUGACUGGGGUG